AGGAUCUGGUCCCCUUACCUCUUCACACGAAUUUUCAACUUCUUAUCUCAAGUAGUUGGUUUGUUGAAAAUGGGAGAAUUCAUACAUUAUACAUACACAAAAACAAGAGGAGCAACCAUUCCAUACUCUCUCUUGCCUCAUUCUCAAGCCGUAUAUCUCAGAUUGUUCAUCUUCAAUAUCUAUUAAAAAGGAUAGCCAACCAUGAUCUUAGUCUUGAUCAGCUAAAGGAAGUUUAUUUAACUGAAUUUUUAUAUCUUGAGAAAUUGAACGGAAGGGAAGGAAAAUUACAAUGAUGGAAAGAGGAAAAGGAGAAAGCGAGAAAGGGAAAGCAAUCAAAUUAUCGUGUAAAUUUUUUCAGCCGAGCUUUAGCGUGGACAUGUUUUUCAAGUCCAACUGCAAACACCGAAAAUGGUAGUUCCUGACUUCUUGCUUCUUGAGUGCUUAUAGCAAGACCGAUAGCAAUCACAUGUAAUGCUAUAUUCGUCUAUCUCCGGUUAUAAUUACACAAGGCUCUUCUCGUCAAUGAUUUACCUAACGAGGGUUCAUCAUAGGUGUUGUAGAGUGGUUGGAACAGAUAUGAUUGUUCCAAACUUGUUCAUUCUAUUAGAAUUUUUCAAGUGCUAGAAUUUCUAGUGCUGAAAUUUCUCAAGUGCCGUAAACUCUUUUGACGUUGGAAUUGUUUCAGAAUGCUGAAAAUUACACAAUGAUUUAAUAUUUGUAAGGAGUGAAAAAAAUAACUAACACCCCUUUCUAUGAAAGGUGCAUCCUUAGAAAAGGAUGACACCUUUUACCAAUAUUAUUUAGUGUUUUAUUUAA